ACGGGUGAGUAACGCGUAGGAACGUGUCCUGAGGUGGGGGACAACCCCGGGAAACUGGGGCUAAUACCGCAUAUGGGCUGAGGCCCAAAGCCGAGAGGCGCCUUUGGAGCGGCCUGCGUCCGAUUAGGUAGUUGGUGGGGUAAAGGCCUACCAAGCCUGCGAUCGGUAGCUGGUCUGAGAGGACGACCAGCCACACUGGGACUGAGACACGGCCCAGACUCCUACGGGAGGCAGCAGUGGGGAAUAUUGGACAAUGGGCGAAAGCCUGAUCCAGCAAUGCCGCGUGGGUGAAGAAGGUCUUCGGAUCGUAAAGCCCUUUCGACGGGGACGAUGAUGACGGUACCCGUAGAAGAAGCCCCGGCUAACUUCGUGCCAGCAGCCGCGGUAAUACGAAGGGGGCUAGCGUUGCUCGGAAUUACUGGGCGUAAAGGGCGCGUAGGCGGCGGCCCAAGUCAGGCGUGAAAUUCCUGGGCUCAACCUGGGGACUGCGCUUGAUACUGGGUUGCUUGAGGAUGGAAGAGGCUCGUGGAAUUCCCAGUGUAGAGGUGAAAUUCGUAGA
rnacentral:rRNA from 1 species